AGCAGUCGCCGCGGUAAUACGAAGGGUGCAAGCGUUACUCGGAAUUACUGGGCGUAAAGCGUGCGUAGGUGGUGGUUUAAGUCCGUUGUGAAAGCCCUGGGCUCAACCUGGGAAUUGCAGUGGAUACUGGGUCACUAGAGUGUGGUAGAGGAUAGUGGAAUUUCCGGUGUAGCAGUGAAAUGCGUAGAGAUCGGAAGGAACAUCUGUGGCGAAGGCGACUAUCUGGGCCAACACUGACACUGAGGCACGAAAGCGUGGGGAGCAAACAGGAUUAGAUACCCCGGUAGUCCCUGUCUCUUAUAA
rnacentral:rRNA from 1 species